rnacentral:rRNA from 1 species
UACGGAGGGUGCAAGCGUUGUUCGGAAUUACUGGGCGUAAAGGGCGCGUAGGCGGGUGGGAAAGUCUGAUGUGAAAGCCCGGGGCUCAACCCCGGAAGGGCAUUGGAAACUUCCCGUCUUGAGUUCGGGAGAGGAAGGCAGAAUUCCCGGUGUAGGAGUGAAAUCCGUAGAGAUCGGGAGGAAAAUCAGUGGCGAAGGCGGCCUUCUGGAACGAAACUGACGCUAAGGCGCGAAAGCGUGGGUAGCAAACAGG